rnacentral:rRNA from 2 species
UGGGCGUAAGAGCUCGUAGGCGGUUUGUCGCGUCUGCUGUGAAAUCCCGAGGCUCAACCUCGGGCUUGCAGUGGGUACGGGCAGACUAGAGUGCGGUAGGGGAGAUUGGAAUUCCUGGUGUAGCGGUGGAAUGCGCAGAUAUCAGGAGGAACACCGAUGGCGAAGGCAGAUCUCUGGGCCGUAACUGACGCUGAGGAGCGAAAGCGUGGGGAGCGAACAGGAUUAGAUACCCUGGUAGUCCACGCCGUAAACGUUGGGCGCUAGAUGUAGGGACCUUUCCACGGUUUCUGUGUCGUAGCUAACGCAUUAAGCGCCCCGCCUGGGGAGUACGGCCGCAAGGCUAAAACUCAAAGGAAUUGACGGGGGCCCGCACAAGCGGCGGAGCAUGCGGAUUAAUUCGAUGCAACGCGAAGAACCUUACCAAGGCUUGACAUACACCGGAAACGGCCAGAGAUGGUCGCCCCCUUGUGGUCGGUGUACAGGUGGUGCAUGGUUGUCGUCAGCUCGUGUCGUGAGAUGUUGGGUUAAGUCCCGCAACGAGCGCAACCCUCGUUCUAUGUUGCCAGCGGGUCAUGCCGGGGACUCAUAGGAGACUGCCGGGGUCAACUCGGAGGAAGGUGGGGAUGACGUCAAAUCAUCAUGCCCCUUAUGUCUUGGGCUUCACGCAUGCUACAAUGGGCCGGUACAAAGGGCUGCGAUACCGUAAGGUGAGCGAAUCCCAAAAAGCCGGUCUCAGUUCGGAUUGAGGUCUGCAACUCGACCCUCAUGAAGUCGGAGUCGCUAGUAAUCGCAGAUCAGCAACGCUGCGUGAAUACGUUCCCGGGCCUGUACACACCGCCCGUCAGUCAUGAAAGUCG